GUCCACGCCCUAAACGAUGGACACUAAGUGUCGGAGGUAUUGAGCCCUCCGGUGCCGCAGCUAACGCAUUAAGUGUCCCGCCUGGGGAGUACGGCCGCAAGGUUGAAACUCAAAGGAAUUGACGGGGGCCCGCACAAGCGGUGGAGCAUGUGGUUCAAUUCGACGCAACGCGAAGAACCUUACCUGGGCUUGACAUGCUGGUAGUAGAAACCUGAAAGGGCAACGAUCCCCGCAAGGGGAAGCCAGCACAGGUGCUGCAUGGCUGUCGU
rnacentral:rRNA from 1 species